UUGAUGGUGUUCCUUUUUAAGAACAUCACCAAUAAUUGGGCAAAAAGCCUUAUUAAAUAAUUCUUUGCAACGUGCACCAGCAUUCUGGGAAGUAGUCGAGAAAAUUUACUCAACAUUACUGAUUUGUAUUAAAUGUUUCACUUCCUUCAACUUCAGUUUCUUAUUUGAAAUAUGAAUAUUGAUAGGGACAGCUGUGUGUGUGUGUGCGCGCGCGUGUGCAUGCCGAUGCGCGCGUGUGGUGUGUAUUUUAGUAGAUUAUUUUACAUUUUACAUUAGAACAAUUUUACAUUUACAGGAAAAUUGAGACGAUAGAAAGAGUGCACCUAUAUCUGGCGCUCAGUUUUACCUGUUUAUUAACACCUUAUGUUUGUAUGGUACUUCGUUGGAGUUGAUGAACCAAUAAUGACAUGUUAUUCUUUAACUGAAGUCAUUAUUCAGAUUUCCUUAAAUUUUUCCUAAUGUUUUUCUGUUCCAGGAUACCACAUUACAUGUAGUGUUCAUGUCUCCCUAGGCUCCUCUUGGCUGUGACAAUUUCUCAUACUUUUGUCAUUUUUGCUGGCCUCCAUGGUUUUGAGGAAUACUGCACUGUUUGAAGGCUCAGAGUCUUCUGCUUCUGUUGGCAGAAAAGGGUCUUCCCUUUCCCAGUGGAGAAGCCAUAUCAGAUUCAUAAAACCCUGGCCUAGAGAAGUUUCAUAGAAUGGGUCACAUCAUGGUAAACACUGUGGCAGCUGCUACCUACUGUUUUGUGUUAGGAGAAACUUCCAUUUCUUCAACACUUCAGAUCUGCUUUCCACGCUGGACAUCCUUAAACAGGCAUGCAGACACUUGAGGAGGAGACCGAAGAACUCACUUCUCACGUUAUUGUUAGAAGAAACUCCGAGAGGUCUAAAGAGGAGAGAAGGAGAAGGAGCUGUGAAUUCACAGCAGCUGUGAAUCCACCAACAGCCUGGAGGUGGGAGGACCUGUGUACAGAUCAACAGAGAAGAUCUGGAGGAAGAGCAUUGACUUACGUCUCGUUAAGUCAUGGAGCCACCUACCCCUUUCUCCUUAAAGGCAUAUGGUAUCUCUUACUUCCUUUUGGCCAAGGGACAAGAGGAAAUAAAAAGAAAAGGAAGCUCGGUUGGAAGACUAAAGAGGCUGAGCAGUAAAUUCUGAGUCCCAGUGCGAGGAAAAGUGAAUAAGGAAUGGGUGGUCAUAAUGUGUCGAUGAAGUGGCUUCAUCGUGUGAUCAAAGAAGGUGAAUGGAGAAUUCCCUUGAGUCAAGUGUGUGAUUCUUUGCACAAUGAUAUUAAGAACAGAAUAAUGGGUAAAGAUAAGCCGAUGGGAAGCACAUGUCUACAAGGCAACUGGCAGCAGUCCCACAGCCAUUAGUCUGUGGUAUCUGGUGAAACUGCUGGAGUCAGCAUGACGGAGCAAAAAGAAGGAAGAAAACUAUCUCUGAAAUGAAAAGAGCCUGUUGGCUUUCAGACUGGAGCUA